rnacentral:rRNA from 1 species
ACGCUCGACACCUACGGGGGCAGCAGUGGGGAAUAUUGCACAAUGGGGGAAACCCUGAUGCAGCGACGCCGCGUGAGCGAAGAAGUAUCUCGGUAUGUAAAGCUCUAUCAGCAGGGAAGAAGAUGACGGUACCUGACUAAGAAGCACCGGCUAAAUACGUUCACGACAGCCGCGGUAAUCUGAGCGGGCGUGGCAAGGC